rnacentral:rRNA from 1 species
AAAAACAUCGCCUCUUGUAAACUAACAAAUAAGAGGUCCUGCCUGCCCCGUGACCAUGUGUUUAACGGCCGCGGUAUUUUGACCGUGCAAAGGUAGCGCAAUCAUUUGUCUUUUAAAUUUAGACCCGUAUGAAUGGCAAAACGAGGGCUUAACUGUCUCCUUUUUCAAGUCAAUGACAUUGAUCUUCCCGUGCAGAAGCGGGAAUUUCUCCAUAAGACGAGAAGACCCUGUGGAGCUUUAGACACCAGAACAGAUCACGUCAAAACCCCCUAAUAAAGGACUGAACUAACCGAACCCUGUUCCAAUGUCUUCGGUUGGGGUGACCACGGUGGAACUACAAAACCCCCGCGUGGAAUGAGAGCACUUCCUGCUCCCACAAUUAAGAGCCCCCGCUCUAAUAAACAGAAUUUCUGACCAACAAGAUCCGGCAACGCCGAUCAACGAACCAAGUUACCCCAGGGAUAACAGCGCAAUCCUCUUUCAGAGCCCAUAUCGACAAGAGGGUUUACGACCUCGAUGUUGGAUCAGGACAUCCUAAUGGUGCAGCCGCUAUUAAGGGUUCGUUUGUUCAACGAUUAAAGUCCUACGUGAUCUGA